CUUUUCUCUUUCGUUUUUUUGUUUUUUUCUUCGUCUGUCUCUCGCCUGUACUCUUCUUUCUCUCAAUCCAAACAUCUGUAAUCUCCAUCAUGAAAAUUUCACUAACUCCUUCUGUCUCACUGUCUUGAUCUAACUUUUUGAUUUCUGGUAAAUCUUCUCAAUCUUGCGUCUUACUUUGCAGAUCUGUGCUUCAAAUUUACUUUCAGCUUUGCUUGUUCUGAUGAGUUUUGACGAUUUGAUGUGCUUGUGUAGUUCAGCUGAUCAAUUCAUUAAUCUUACAGUUUUUAAAAUAUUAUAGCUUAGCUAAUCCCAGAGACGCUUACUGUUGUUUACGGUGAUGAGAUGGAUGCAAUGUGUUGAUCGAUAUUUAAUAUGCAUUUUUUUUUGGGUUCUUUGAUUUGGGUAGUUGCGGAAAUGGAAUUAGAGACGAAAUUGAGGUUGUGAAUUCCUUUCAUUUUUCAACGUACUUAGUAGAUGUAUAAAACCUCCAUCAAUCUUAUCUCAGAAUUUCAUGGGUAGCUUUGGAUAUCACUGUAAUUGGCAUCUUUUUUUUAAAGCAAUAGAAUUUCAUUUUCUGGGAGAAUUUUUACCUUCUAUACUCUCUUCUUAUCUUCGAUCUGAGUCCUUGGAUCUCUAGAAUUGCAGUUGCUGGAAGGUUGAAUUUUUUAUCGAAUUGUGCUCUACCUUCAUUGUAAGUUAUUGGAAUUGCAAUUACUUGUAUUAUUUAAUCAUAUUGUUAGAGCUGAUCAUUUGAACUGGUAGAUUUGGUUUUUAUUUUUAUUUUAGCUAUGAACAGUUAAGCUGUUCCUGUUUAGAUUCAAUCUACAUGCUGAAAGAUAUGAACAGUAAUUUUGUUGAUGAAAGCUACUGCCUGACUUCUCAUUUUCAGGUUUUCAUUGAAGAGAAUUCGUGCUCUCAUUGUGUUCUGGGACUUGUGUGCAAAUGUUAAAGAACAGGAUUUAUGUGAAUGUCAUCAAUUAUUGUAUUCUCUGUUGAUGGUGUUCAGUUCUGAGUGCCUUGGAUAAGCUAUAGUUACUGACACGCGAUGUCUUCAGCUCAAGAUCCAUUUUAUAUAGUGAAGGAGGAAAUUCAAGAAUCUAUUGAUAAGCUGCUAUCUACUUUUCACCAAUGGGAACGGGCUUCUUCUGAUCCUGAAGACCAAAUGCAUCUGGCAAAUGAGCUAGUUACUGGUUGUGAGAGCAUUGCAUGGCAGGUGGAUGAGCUAGACAAAACAAUUUCUGUAGCAGCUAGAGAUCCUUCUUGGUAUGGGAUUGAUGAGGUGGAGCUCGAAAAACGAAAGAGAUGGACUAGCACUGCUCGUGUUCAGGUGGGCAAUGUGAAGAAAGCAGUUGUAGCUGGAAAAGAGGUGAACAGUAAUGGAACUACCAGCGUAAAUGGGAUGCGCAGAGAGUUAAUGAGGCUGCAAAAUUCUCACCAGACAGAUAAAUCCAACCUGUAUACUCAAGAUAAUGAUGAUUUCAUACAAUCAGAAUCAGAUCGACAAAUGCUUCUUAUAAAGCAACAGGAUGAGGAGUUGGAUGAGCUUAGUGCAAGUGUGGAGCGUAUUGGAGGUGUUGGGCUUACUAUACAUGAAGAACUCCUUGCACAGGUUUGAUUUUGUGGGUUGAUGUUCUCUGUAAAGUGUCAACCUCAAUCCAAAUGGCAUAAACUUGCAUAAAAGUUAUUAGUGCUUGUGUUCUUUGAAAAGCAAAUUAGUAAUCUCAACUAACAGACUCCAGUUGUCGUGAGUUUUAAGUGCUAAAAUCCAAACUUUGGUUGUUUCAGGAAAAGAUUAUAGAUGAUUUGGGUAUGGAAAUGGACAGUACAUCAAAUCGUCUCGAUUUUGUUCAGAAAAAAGUGGCUAUGGUCAUGAAGAAAGCCAGUGCGAAGGGGCAGAUCAUGAUGAUUUUAUUUUUGAUAGUUUUGUUCAUCAUUUUAUUUGUUCUGGUCUUUCUUACUUAAACCUAUAAAAUAAGCAGCCACAGCCUGCGAUGUGCCUACACAAGAGAAUGUGCAACGAGGAAAUUGGAGUCAAGCCUAGAAAUACUGAACUGAAAUGAGAUUGCUGUUGAAGGUUUCGGCAGCAUUUGAACUUGACUGCCAUUUGAUUUGUUGCAGUUUCUAGUCAUGAAAUAUCAUGCAUGAUUGGUUCAUAUGGUUAUCCGUUUGUUUCUUCUUUGCAUCAUUGCAUGUGAUUAGUAAUAUUUGUUUGUCAAAGAUAUUAGGUCUAUGCAUAUGGUGGACAAAGUUCCAUUGUUUUUCCUUUUUUUUUAUAAUUAUUUUAUUUAGUUUCUAAUAGUUAAUAAUUUUGAGGAUAAAUUACAAUAAAAUCAUAAAUAUAUUUGAAUGAAAUUGUAAUA
rnacentral:misc_RNA from 1 species